AUUAGAUACCCUAUUAUUUUUAUUGUAAAAAUUUAAGCUAGAGUAUUAAUAGUUAUGGUCUUCAAACUUAAAGAAUUUGGCGGUAUUAUAGUCUAUUUAGAGGAAUCUGUUAUUUAAUCGAUAAUCCACGUGGGACCUUACUUAAAUUAUUUCUUGUAUACCGCUGUUUAAGAAUAUACUUUUAGGUUAUUUUCUGAAUAUAUAAGUAAUUAAAAUUUCAAGUCAAGGUGCAGUAAUAUAUAAGUUUAAUAAUGGAUUACAAUAAAUUUUAUUUAUUAUGGAUAUUUUAUUGAAAUAUAAUUUGAAGGUGGAUUUAAUUGUAAUUUUAUAAAGAUUAUUAAAAUGAUUUAUAGCUCUAUAAUAUGUACACAUCGCCCG
rnacentral:rRNA from 1 species